rnacentral:lncRNA from 1 species
CAAUUCUUCAUAUUUCGGAUUGGGUUCAUCCCUGUAGUAAUCGGAUGAAUUGAGUUGUAGACAUGAAAGCGUAAGAACUCAACGGGAUUCCCUUCUUUGUUUGUCUGAUUCGAUGGGAAAAGGCCUGUUGGGUUCUUAAGAAUCAGAGUCUUUUUUUCGUCUAAAUGACAAAAUAGAUUUCUUUUUCUGCUGUCCUUACGGGCCUCUUGAAUUAUCUCUUUAACUAUUUCUUUAAUUUGUUUUUGUAUCUAAUGUGGCUUUUUUUGUUUUCUUUAUUAUUGAAUUGAUAGGAAUUAUCUUGUUAAGACCCUAUGAAUCGAUUAAAACCUCAAAUUCAUACUAAAACCAUGAUGAUUCAACUAAGCUAAGCCAAGGAUUAUCUGAGUAAGAACCGUUGGAUCAUCACUUAUUCCAUCAAUAGAUAGACUAUGAGUCCACAUGUGAGAGAAGAAGUCAAAUAUGACGGCUGAAAUAGUAAAAUAACGGUAAAAAAAC